CUUGCGGGCGUGCACGUGGACCACGAGAAUGUUGCGGCGCAGUAGUCGGCUGCUUGUGCGCUUGCCCAAGUGCCGCCGUCCACGUGAGCGGCCAUGGGAGAUCUUUAACGUGCGCGACUUCGGUUACCACGAGGGGUCGCAGAACUACAUGAUGUGGCUCGGCACGGCGGUCGUCUUCACCUCGAUGCUCGCCUUCGAGGUGUAUCAGCAGAUCCAGCGCGUCUUUCAGCGCGGCGACACCUGCAGCGCCUGCGAGGCUGCGCGGGCGCACUACCGGAAGCGUGUCGAGGAGCGGGAGCGGGAGACGGAAGCUCAGACGCGGUACAGCCUGAAGCUGCGCAAACCGCAUGCGUCUUAGUACGCGGAGGUGGUAACCUUCUCUUUCUCGUUCUAUUGCUGCUGUGGCGGCUCAAGCGCUGCUGCCGCCUGUCCCUUUCGCUCCCUCUCCACCUCUCGCUCAUCCUCUUGGUCAUGUCCUUUGGUGCUUCUCCUUUGGGAGAGGGCGCCACUUACGCGGUGCUCCGUGCCGUGAUGAGAAUCGAGGCGGACGGCACGCCUGUGCGAUUUGCGUCUGUGCAGUUGGUGGCUUGCAGCUCUUGGCGUCGGGUCACACACGCGUGCGUGCGUGUGUGCAGAACG
rnacentral:misc_RNA from 1 species